UGAUGAUCAGAUUCAUCUUCCGUGUCAACAUUCCUUGUAUUUGUUUAACUCAGGUUAAUAUUAAUGUCUUUCCAUCUCUCUCUUUUGCUUUUACUAAAUAUAUUUUGAUGUGAUUUUGUUUUUUAUGCUUAAUUUUCAUCUUUUUUCAAUCUUUUCCGUUUCAUUUUAUGGUGGUGAUGAUGCUAAACAUAAAACAGAUGAUUAUCAGGCUUCAAGUUAACUGUUAAUCGACGAGAUGAUUUACAGUUAAAUGAAAUAGUUUAUUUUGUAAUUUGCAAUUUACGCCAUUCAUUUCUCAACAGACAUUCAGAUGUAUUUUUAUCUGGUCAUAUUUUCGCAUCUUGUCAAUCAGAUGAAAUGCAAUAUACUUCUAAAUAUGAAGUGCUUUUUGGCUAAUUUUCUCACCAUUUUGGCCAACAUUUCGUUUGAUGUUAAUUUAAAAGGUUGAUUGUCUAAAAACGCAACUUUUAAUUAUUAUGUUCACUUUCAUUUCAGACAGAUUGAGGGUACACGUUAACCGUUGUAAUUAGAUAAAGAUCCCUCGUUUUUUUUUGUUCACACCUUUUGAAAAUGUGUUUUGCUUACUUUUUUUUGGCGCGUUAGCGUAAUUUUUGCUUUUGUUAAUUACAAUGAUGUACACUUUCAUUUUAUCUUGAUUUGGCUUUAAUCAACAAAACAAAAGAAGCUGCUAAUUAUUUUGUUUAUGGGUCAAGUUACAGUACAACAGGACACAAUUGUUUACAGUUAAAGCUUCGGUCAACGUCAUUUCAAGGGCAGUUUAUGAAAAAAAAGAAACAAUCACUAAAUUUCAUCAAAAUGCUAUUGACCAAUGGAUAUCAACUAACUCCAGUCGUUUGAAGACCAAAAUGUCGGUCAAUGAUUAUAUUCAAGUCUGCAAGUGAUCCAAAGACUGCAACUACAAUUACUACGAUCAGCUGGAUUCAACUGGAAUUUUCAUUAAAGCAAUUUUCUUUCAACCAAAUAAACAAUUUUAUAAAUUGCUUUACACAAAUUGAAGGACCAAUUCAUCUUUAAUAACUUCAUUAACUCUCGAAGAAACAAAAUCAUCAUCUUCAAUUAAACCCUUUAAUGGCCUGUAAAUCGUUGGACAUAUCAAAAGUGUGUAAAAAAGUGUAUCAAUACAUAACGUUAUAUGUUUAUGUUUGAGUUUGAAUGUAAUUAGUUGAUUGUAAAUUGUCUAGUUUGGUACAAUCAUAUAGAUGAUGAUUAAUGUUUCUUAUUGGAAAGAGACAUCAACAUUUAUGUAACAAUUAAUGUAAUAUUUUCAAAAACUGUAACAACUCGUUAAAAUAUUAUUGCCUUUUUUAAUGACACUAGUGUCUCUAUUUAAGGUUUAAUUGCAUUGAUUGUAAAUGGAAACCAUUUGUUUAAUUUUGAUUAAGUAAUUUACAAAAGGUUAUGAUUGAGAUGUUGGAAGAAUGCAAUGAAAGAGUUGUAAAUAAUGAUCUGACAAGCAAAAAAGGAUGAAAAUAAUUGGCAGUUUUGAGGUGACAAAACUGUACUUCUUUGAUUUUAAAAAAUUUCAAGUGAAAAUUGAUUAUGUCCACCUUAAUUAUUGUGUUAUGAGAAGAUUAAAUUGAUUGUUAAAGUGAAGAAAAAUUCCCGCAAUGUAAACUAAUUAUUUGACUGCCCGAAAUCACAAGCAAACAUCAAGUUCAUCAGUUGAUGUUGAUCUUAAUGACCAAAAACAUGUAAUAUCCCAUUCCAAUAGUUAAUUGCAUCUAUCAAACUGACAAUCAGUAAAUUGGUUACCAUUGAGACUCAAACAGUUAUCAUUAAAUUUUCACAUUGAUUAAA